UGGGAAUAUUGGACAAUGGGCGGAAGCCUGAUCCAGCCAUGCCGCGUGUGUGAAGAAGGCCUUUUGGUUGUAAAGCACUUUAAGCGAGGAGGAGGCUACCUAGAUUAAUACUCUGGGAUAGUGGACGUUACUCGCAGAAUAAGCACCGGCUAACUCUGUGCCAGCAGCCGCGGUAAUACAGAGGGUGCGAGCGUUAAUCGGAUUUACUGGGCGUAAAGCGUGCGUAGGCGGCUGAUUAAGUCGGAUGUGAAAUCCCUGAGCUUAACUUAGGAAUUGCAUUCGAUACUGGUCAGCUAGAGUAUGGGAGAGGAUGGUAGAAUUCCAGGUGUAGCGGUGAAAUGCGUAGAGAUCUGGAGGAAUACCGAUGGCGAAGGCAGCCAUCUGGCCUAAUACUGACGCUGAGGUACGAAAGCAUGGGGAGCAAACAGGAUUAGAUACCCUGGUAGUCCAUGCCGUAAACGAUGUCUACUAGCCGUUGGGGCCUUUGAGGCUUUAGUGGCGCAGCUAACGCGAUAAGUAGACCGCCUGGGGAGUACGGUCGCAAGACU
rnacentral:rRNA from 1 species